rnacentral:rRNA from 1 species
GGUAGCCCGGAGAUGGGUACUGAGACAAGGACCCAGGCCCUACGGGGCGCAGCAGUCGCGAAAACUCCGCAAUGCACGAAAGUGUGACGGGGCUACCCCGAGUGCCAUCCGCUGAGGAUGGCUUUUCUUUGGUAUAACUAGCCAUGGGAAUAAGGAGAGGGCAAGACUGGUGUCAGCCGCCGCGGUAAUACCAGCUCUUCGAGUGGUGUGGAUGUUUAUUGGGCCCAAAGCAUCCGUAGCUGGCUGGGCAAGUCCCCUGUUAAAUCCACCGAUUUAAUCGUUGGAGUGCGGGGGAUACUGUUCGGCUAGGGGACGGGAGAGGCAGACGGUAUUUUCGGGGUAGGGGUGAAAUCCUAUAAUCCCGAGAAGACCACCAGUGGCGAAGGCUGUCUGCUAGAACGCGCCCGACGGUGAGGGAUGAAAGCUGGGGGAGCGAACCGGAUUAGAUACCCGGGUAGUCCCAGCUGUAAACGAUGCAGGCUAGGUGUUUGGACGGCCACGAGCCGCUUCAGUGCCGCAGGGAAACCAUUAAGCCCGCCGCCUGGG